rnacentral:ncRNA from 1 species
AUAAACUUUUUGAAAAGAGAUAGUAGAUAAUGAAAUUUAGCUAAAGAGAAUCCCGAGUGGUGAGAAGGGAUGCUGUAGUCAUUAUUGAAUGGGUCUUUGAAAGGAUAUUCCGAUAUGUAGGGGUAUACGGAGAGUCUACCGUUAAAAAGACAGGGUAUCGAAGAAAUUUCCGUACCUGAGAUAGUGUAAAAACAUAGGUGGUAUAGCAAAGAAUACACUUUGUCCUAGUU